GAGUUUGAUCGUGGCUCAGGAUGAACGCUAGCUACAGGCUUAACACAUGCAAGUCGAGGGGCAGCAUUUCAGUUUGCUUGCAAACUGGAGAUGGCGACCGGCGCACGGGUGAGUAACACGUAUCCAACCUGCCGAUAACUCGGGGAUAGCCUUUCGAAAGAAAGAUUAAUACAAGAUGGCAUCAUGAGCCCGCAUGUUCACAUGAUUAAAGGUAUUCCGGUAGACGAUGGGGAUGCGUUCCAUUAGAUAGUAGGCGGGUAACGGCCCACCUAGUCUUCGAUGGAUAGGGGUUCUGAGAGGAAGGUCCCCCAAUUGGAACUGAGACACGGUCCAAACUCCUACGGGAGGCAGCAGUGAGGAAUAUUGGUCAAUGGGCGAGAGCCUGAACCAGCCAAGUAGCGUGAAGGAUGACUGCCCUAUGGAUUGUAAACUUCUUUUAUAAAGGAUAAGUCGGGUAUGGAUACCCGUUUGCAUGUACUUUAUGAAUAGGAUCGGCUAACUCCGUGCCAGCCGCC
rnacentral:rRNA from 1 species